rnacentral:rRNA from 1 species
UCUCAGUUCGGACUGCAGGCUGCAACUCGCCUGCAUGAAGCUGGAAUUGCUAGUAAUCGCGGAUCAGCAAGCCGCGGUGAAUACGUUCCCGGGCCUUGUACACACCGCCCGUCACACCAUGAGAGUCGGGAACACCCGAAGUCCGUAGUCUAACCGCAAGGGGGGCGCGGCCGAAGGUGGGUCCGGUAAUUGGGGUGAAGUCGUAACAAGGUACC